UACAGAGGGUGCUAGCGUUGUUCGGAAUCAUUGGGCGUAAAGGGCGUGUAGGCGGUUUGUUAAGUCAUGUGUGAAAGCCCCCGGCUCAACCGGGGAACGACGCAUGAAACUGGCAAGCUAGAGUACCGAAGAGGGGGGUGGAAUUCCCGGUGUAGCGGUGAAAUGCGUAGAUAUCUGGAGGAAUACCGGUGGCGAAGGCGGCAUCCUGGACCGACAUUGACGCUGAACGGCGAAAGCUAGGGGAGCAAACGGG
rnacentral:rRNA from 1 species